GGGCGGUUAGCUCAGCUGGCUAGAGCGCUACGUUGACAUCGUAGAGGUCGUAGGUUCAAGUCCUAUACCGCCCACUA
rnacentral:tRNA from 1 species